CCCAGAGAUGAAGGAAGAGAGAAUCUCAGCCUGACUCUGAAAAUGCCAGGAGGAGUCCAGCGGGGAAGCAGGGAAGGAAAGAAGUGAAGAAGGUGAAAAAAAAUGAAAGAUAGAACCACAAUGCACUUGCGACUGUUGUCAAUAGGACCUAAGUCCAGCUUGAGUCUACAAGGCAGGAAAACAAACUGAAUGAGGAACUGAAAUUAUGGCAUUGAGUUGGAUUAAAACUAUUUAAUAUCUAAAAAACAAGAUGAUUUUAAUACUCAAUAAUUAUCAUAAAAGCCAUGGGAUUUGCUUGCAAUAUUAUUUUUGGCAAAUCCUUCCCAAACAGGUUUGAAGCUGCGGUGGGUGAAAAAUAGAGUUAUUUCCUUAUCUUAUCUUACCAAAUAUAGCUUGUUCAAAUGCCAGCCAUAAAGGCAAAAAAGAAGCUGAGAAAGAGACAAGCAGAGAUGAAAUCUACUUUUGAAACUGCCACCUGGGAAGGCUGAGGCGGCAAACAGUAGUGAGACAGGCACCAUCUCUGUGGAGAGAGGAAGAUUGUUCCAGGCCAAGGGAAGAUAUGUGCAAAGGCCCUGAGGCAGGAAAGAGGAAGCCAUGAAACUACAAGGUCCAGAGCAGGGCAGAGCAUGAGACAUGACGUCAGAGGCAGAUUGCACGAGGCAAUGUGAUCACAGUGAAAGGUCUGGAUUGAUUCUGAGGGCGUUCCAGAGUUUAAGCAGCAAAUUGACAUCCAAUUUAUAUGUUUAAGAUCACUUUUACUGUUGUUUCAAGAAAGGAUUGGGAGAAGGAAUAAGAGUGGAGGCCCAGUAGAAGGACACAAUGUACUUCUUAGAAAUGGUGCAAUAAAUCCUGAGUGGUUGCCUUUCUCAAAUUUAGACUCCAAAAAACCAGAAAGACGGAUGGUGAUGGGUACUUCAGGCUCCCUAUGACUGACAGAACCUACUGGAAUUUAACAAAAAAACAAAUAAAUUUAAAAAACAAACAAACAAAAAAAACAGAAGAAAUGGUCUUGCUUGAAAAACAGGCAUUCUUCAUGAAAGCUACAUAGCAUAUUAUACACAGACAUAUAUAUAUUUCCUCAAGCCACCAAAAAGCUCAGAGCUAAAUUUUAUGUUCUAGUAAUUUUCUCAUCUCUUCUUCCUCGCUAUAAAUAUGGUUUCUAAUCUCUCCUUUAACAGAAUUUCAACAUGAAAAUGUACUUGUUCAUUGUUCAUGAGCCACUGCAAAUCCAUUUUAAAGACUGUUUUGCACAACCUGCCACAAAGGGAAGAAUGAGAUUUUUUUAACCCGUUUUGAAGACAAGACCAAAAAAAAAAAAUACUGCCAAUUAUCAAAAAAUGUUUUGAUUUUUUUUUUCUCACCAACAGCUACACUGAGCACUCCCGCUCAGUCCUGACCCUUUCGGACAGUGAACCCCCAACAAACCUACUGCCAGCCCAAGGAGAUAAGCUGUGAACACCUCCUAAUGUUUGAGACAAUUUCUCGGGAAGCCCCACCCCAUUCUUAUGCAUUCUAGCCUUAUUUGAAUAGCUACUAUACAUUGAGUACUUGUUCUGUGCCAGGCACCAUGCUGAGCACUUUACAUAUAUUAUAAUAAUCCAGCAUCACAAAAACUCUUUAAGGCAAGAACUGUAGCCACACCAGACCAAUCUGCUUCAACUUUUAUGUAAUAAAGUUGUAAGUUGUUUUUCAGUUGCUAUGGACCCUCAGGUCAUACAGCCUGAACGUACCCAGAUGAACCAAGCAUGCAACCACAGAGGAACCUAAAUGCUUGGACCAAGAAGGAGGGGAAUGAAUCAAGAAGUGGACACCACAUGGCAGGAUCCAGAAUCCAGUGAGUCUGAGCCCCGGCAUCGCCCCACGGCAGAAACCAGUCAGAUCAUGCCUCCCAACAUCACCUUGUCACAAAAUCCAAUUAGAUCAUGCCUCAUUACCCUAUGCUUAUAAAAUCUGACCCAACCCCCAACUCAAAGAGAUAGAUUCGAGCAUUUCCUCCUGUCUCCUUGCCAGUAGACUUGCAAUAAACCUUUCUUGCUG
rnacentral:lncRNA from 10 species